rnacentral:rRNA from 1 species
ACGAACGCUGGCGGCGUGCUUAACACAUGCAAGUCGCACGGAAAGGCCCUGCUUUUGUGGGGUGCUCGAGUGGCGAACGGGCGAGUAACACGUGAGUAACCUGCCCUUGACUUUGGGAUAACUUCAGGAAACUGGGGCUAAUACCGGAUAGGAGCUCCUGCUGCAUGGUGGGGGUUGGAAAGUUUCGGCGGUUGGGGAUGGACUCGCGGCUUAUCAGCUUGUUGGUGGGGUAGUGGCUUACCAAGGCUUUGACGGGUAGCCGGCCUGAGAGGGUGACCGGCCACAUUGGGACUGAGAUACGGCCCAGACUCCCACGGGAGGCAGCAGUGGGGAAUAUUGCACAAUGGGCGGAAGCCUGAUGCAGCAACGCCGCGUGCGGGAUGACGGCCUUCGGGUUGUAAACCGCUUUCGCCUGUGACGAAGCGUGAGUGACGGUAAUGGGUAAAGAAGCACCGGCUAACUACGUG